UGGGAAUUGGUUGCACCAGAAGCCGCCGGGCUAACCUUCGGGAGGCAGGCGUCUACGGUGUGGUCAGUGACUGGGGUGAAGUCGUAACAAGGUAUCCCUACCGGAAGGUGGGGAUGGAUCACCUCCUUUUAG
rnacentral:rRNA from 1 species